CAAGUCGAGCGCAGGCAACUGACGGAACUCUUCGGAGGGAAGGCAGUGGAAUGAGCUUUUUACGGGUGAGUAACACGUAAGGAACCUGCCUCAAGGAUUGGGAUAACUCCGAGAAAUCGGAGCUAAUACCGGAUAGUUCAUCGGACCGCAUGGUCCGUUGAUGAAAGGCGCUCCGGCGUCACCUUGAGAUGGCCUUGCGGUGCAUUAGCUAGUUGGUGGGGUAACGGCCCACCAAGGCGACGAUGCAUAGCCGACCUGAGAGGGUGAUCGGCCACACUGGGACUGAGACACGGCCCAGACUCCUACGGGAGGCAGCAGUAGGGAAUCUUCCACAAUGGACGAAAGUCUGAUGGAGCAACGCCGCGUGAGUGAUGAAGGUUUUCGGAUCGUAAAACUCUGUUGUAAGGGAAGAACACGUACGAGAGGGAAUGCUCGUACCUUGACGGUACCUUACGAGAAAGCCACGGCUAACUACGUGCCAGCAGCCGCGGUAAUACGUAGGUGGCAAGCGUUGUCCGGAAUUAUUGGGCGUAAAGCGCGCGCAGGCGGCCUUUUAAGUCUGAUGUGAAAGCCCCCGGCUCAACCGGGGAGGGCCAUUGGAAACUGGAAGGCUUGAGUACAGAAGAGAAGAGUGGAAUUCCACGUGUAGCGGUGAAAUGCGUAGAGAUGUGGAGGAACACCAGUGGCGAAGGCGACUCUUUGGUCUGUAACUGACGCUGAGGCGCGAAAGCGUGGGGAGCAAACAGGAUUAGAUACCCUGGUAGUCCACGCCGUAAACGAUGAGUGCUAGGUGUUGGGGGGGUUUCCGCCCCUCAGUGCUGAAGCUAACGCAUUAAGCACUCCGCCUGGGGGAGUACGGCCGCAAGGCUGAAACUCAAAGGAAUUGACGGGG
rnacentral:rRNA from 1 species